AUGCGGUAUAAAAGUGCCUCCUCGGCAGAUGAGGACCUGAGCGUGGCCGUGCUAAUGAGGAUGCAGGAUCCACCGCCACCGGCCAGUCCGAGUGAUUGCAGAGAACUUGGCAGGCAGAUCAAUUACGAGGAGGUCAAGGCUGAGCUGGAGUGGGGUGGGCGCCAACAUGAAGGAGCUAGAGAUAUCUCUAUUUUUCAAAAUGACCUGCUUGGACCGAACGAGGACAGGUGUGUGGUGGUGGUCAUAAGAUGCACGACGAACAUUGAGCUACAGAAGAACAUUAUGAAAGAGGUUGGAGAGGCUGGAGGAGACCAUAUACCAACACAAAACGCAUCUUGA
rnacentral:rRNA from 1 species